rnacentral:rRNA from 1 species
GCGGUGGAGCAUGUGGUUUAAUUCGAAGCAACGCGAAGAACCUUACCAGGUCUUGACAUCCCCUGACAACCCGAGAGAUCGGGCGUUCCCCUUCGGGGGACAGGGUGACAGGUGGUGCAUGGUUGUCGUCAGCUCGUGUCGUGAGAUGUUGGGUUAAGUCCCGCAACGAGCGCAACCCUCGACCUUAGUUGCCAGCAUUCAGUUGGGCACUCUAAGGUGACUGCCGGCUAAAAGUCGGAGGAAGGUGGGGAUGACGUCAAAUCAUCAUGCCCCUUAUGACCUGGGCUACACACGUGCUACAAUGGGCGGUACAAAGGGUCGCGAACCCGCGAGGGGGAGCCAAUCCCAAAAAGCCGCUCUCAGUUCGGAUUGCAGGCUGCAACUCGCCUGCAUGAAGCCGGAAUCGCUAGUAAUCGCGGAUCAGCAUGCCGCGGUCGAAUACGUUCCCGGGCCUU